ensembl:lncRNA novel transcript
UGAUUUUUGGCAGAAGAAGGAAUGGAUAGAGGAUUAUUUAUUCAACACACACAUACCGGAGAGAACUCAUUUUUUUCACUUUUAUAAAAAAAGAAAUUUUUAUCAUGACCACUAAUGAAAAAAUACUAUCAGUCAUCAUAAAUAGAAGAUUCACAUUAAUGCAUGUUAAAAUGUAUGUAGUUAUUACAAUUAAAAUAGUUCAGGUUCUGCCUAAAAUAAUCUCUAGUACCACCCAUGUGGGGUUAUUUUAGUGAGAGAACUAGUUUUACUCGCUGCCAUAACGCAGCUUAAAAAAAAAAAGGUAUUAAUCUCUAUUCUAUUGUCAUCUAAUUUUGAACAUAGGCGUUAAGUCCAAAGUUAGAUUCAUCAAUCAUAACACAGGAAAUGUUACUGACAUCCAUUAAGAACUCCGCAGUUGAUUAGCUCACUUGAUUAAAUAGCGGUGCAGCUAAUGGGAAAACAGGAGAGGAGCCUGCCACUCUAGCAAAGAGAAUUUCCAGCUCUGCGUCUCCAGGGAGUAAGAAAAGAGAAAUGGAAAAUAGAAAACAAAGCUGGCUGCUUCAACAGUAACUCAGUGCUCUCCAUAACAGCAAUCCCAUGCAUGGUCUCCAGAGGUACAUCUCAGUUCCCUUUUCAAUACCCAAAGCAAUUUUCCUGAGAGAUUGGAAAAUCAGGAGGAGGCAAGCCGAUGACAUUUUGAUUGCAGGCCCCACUCGGAGAGGCAUUGUGGAACUUUCUGGUUAACAAAGUUAAAACCAAAACAAAGUAAAUGACGAAUCCACCACCUCAAUCUGCAUUGUAUUUUUUGUUUUUAAAGAAAAUGGUAAAACUUUUGCUGCUGCUUUUAGUGACUGAGAUUUUCAAGAGUGGAUUGAAGAAAUUAUUAUCAGUCUGUUUGGCAGCUAAGAAACCUGCUUUGAGAUGGGUAGUUGCUUAUUAAUAAUACUGCUUUCCACUUCAGCCUCAUCUGUAAGGCACUGAACUAGCUGCUACUGGGUCUUCAACCUACCUUCAGACUUCUACUGCAUGAAGUCUUUCCACAUCUACUGUGAGAUGGAUCACUUCUUCUCCGUUCCCAGCACUUUUUGGGUAUCUCUCCUAUGUCAUAGGAGAGACAUUACAUCUAUGUAAUAGAUGUAAUGAUGUUGUACAAGGCUGAGCAACCUCAGCCUUGCUCUAAAAUUAUUUACAUCAUAGUUUACCAUUCUUUGAGGGUGGCACUUUGCAUUUCAUAGAAUAAUUGAACAUUUAGAGAAUUAAUUGAAUGAAUGCAUGGAUGCAGAGUUGGAUGGAGGAAUGGAUACAUGAUGGUAGAUGAAUGAAUGGAUGGAUGAAGGGACGAUUGGUCCAGGAGGAAAUAGAAAAAUAAUUGCAACUAUUCUUUUCUUGGAGGUGCACUGGUGUCCAGUGAGCAUGUAAUGCAGGCAGUACUGCUAACACCUACAUAACAUGCCCCGCAUCAACUAGAGCUUCGCUUUACCUCCAUAUGAAAAAAAACUUAUUUUCCAAAAAUAAUUUUUAAAAUUUAAAAAUCUGAAAAAAGAGAAGAAGAA